rnacentral:ncRNA from 1 species
AUGAGUAACAAAAAAGAAGUUGUAAGUCGUUCUUUCUUUAAGGAGAAAGAAAUCAUACGAUAUUUCAACUCUCGCCUAAAGCUUAUGGUUUAUUUAAAGUAACGGCCUCUAAGUUUACAAUCCCAAAGGUUGAAACGAUGAGAAAAUCUUAUUACUUAAAGGACAACAUUUAUAAAGUGAAAAGUGUGCUGGAAAAAUUAAGUAAUAUAUUAAUAUUUAACAAUAAACUAAAAAAGAUGAGUUUAAUAUUGAUGAAAAAUAACCGUACCUAGAAACUGUGACAAGUAAGCUAGUGUAGAAUACGAAGGCGUAAAUGAGCUAACAAUCAUAAAGGAACUCGGCAAACUAACUACCGUAACUUAGGGAUAAGGAGGGCUCGCUCGUCCCAGCGCGCGUUUUUCGCGCGCUGGGUAAGAAGGAAGAAGCAUAAAAUAAUGUUGUACGACUGUUUAAUUAAAACAAAGCACUUUGCAUAAAGACUUAAAGUCUAAGUAUAGAGUGUGAUUUCUGCCCGGUGCCGGCUGGCUAACGAAAAUAACUAACUUUAAAAGGUUUGGUACUGUAGGAACCCCCGGUUAAUGGCGGCCUUAUCUUGAGGGUCCUAAGGUAGCGGAAUACCUUGACUGUUAAAUGCAGUCUUUGCAUGAAUGAUGUAACGAUACAACAGCUGUCUCUAUGAUUGACUCAGUGAAAUU